AGUGAACGCUGGCGGUAGGCCUAACACAUGCAAGUCGAACGGCAGCACAGUAAGAGCUUGCUCUUACGGGUGGCGAGUGGCGGACGGGUGAGGAAUACAUCGGAAUCUACUUUUUCGUGGGGGAUAACGUAGGGAAACUUACGUUAAUACCGCAUACGGCCUACGGGUGAAAGCAGGGGAUCUUCGGACCUUGCGCGAUUGAAUGAGCCGAUGUCGGAUUAGCUAGUUGGCGGGGUAAAGGCCCACCAAGGCGACGAUCCGUAGCUGGUCUGAGAGGAUGAUCAGCCACACUGGAACUGAGACACGGUCCAGACUCCUACGGGAGGCAGCAGUGGGGAAUAUUGGACAAUGGGCGCAAGCCUGAUCCAGCCAUACCGCGUGGGUGAAGAAGGCCUUCGGGUUGUAAAGCCCUUUUGUUGGGAAAGAAAAGCAGCAGGUUAAUACCCCGCUGUUCUGACGGUACCCAAAGAAUAAGCACCGGCUAACUUCGUG
rnacentral:rRNA from 1 species